UCGUUCCAAAAGCUAAGUUAAAAGGCGUUUCCCCCUGUUGCUAAUCUGACAGUAGUUCGAUCUGCCCAUAACUCAAAGGGUAAAGCACUAGCCCACUGCCCUCGAGCUCUGUCGAACUUGUUCUUGAAAUAAUGUAAUAUUACUCGGAUUGUUGCCUCCGCCUACCCAUUGGUCCGGGGAUGUGAUGCUGAGGAAAUUAGAAUCGCAGGGCAUACUCCAUGAUUAAUCAUUUGGGACAGGUUAAGACGACUCCUGCCCUAGCCCCAGUCUUGUUAGAAGCCCCGUCCACAUGCAGGACCCACGGUUCGGGAGUCUCCACUACCUGGAUCUUAGCAUUUUGAUUAUGGGGAAUACAUUCAUUGAUGAAAUCACUUAACGCUUGUAUCUCAAUAUCAAAUUCACUUAGCUCAACUGCCCAUUUUAUGAGGCAGCCUAAGAGGGUUGGGCGAUGCCUGACUGUUUUAAGUGGCUAUUCAGGGAGUAAGAUGAUUGGGUGCGCUUGACAAUAA